AUUGAACGCUGGCGGCAGGCCUAACACAUGCAAGUCGAACGAGUGGCGGACGGGUGUGUAAUGUCUGGGAAACUGCCCGAUGGAUGGGGAUAACUACUGGAAACGGUAGCUAAUACCGCAUACCAUCGGAUGUGCCCAGAUGGGAUUAGCUAGGGGGUGGGGUAACGGCGCACCAAGACGAAGAUCCCUAGCUGGUCUGAGAGGCUGACCAGGAACACUGGAACUGAGACAAGGUCCAGAUGCCUACGGGAGGCAGCAGGGGGGAAUAGUGCACAAUGGGCGAAAGCCUGAUGCAGCCAUGCCGCGUGGAUGAAGAAGGCCUUCGGGUGGUAAAGUACUUUCAGUGAGGAGGCGUUACUCGCAGAGGAAGCACCGGCUAACUCCGUGCCAGCAGCCGCGGUAAUAC
rnacentral:rRNA from 1 species